rnacentral:rRNA from 1 species
GACGAACGCUGGCGGCGUGCCUAAUACAUGCAAGUAGAACGCUGAAGCUUGGUGCUUGCACCGAGCGGAAGAGUUGCGAACGGGUGAGUAACGCGUAGGUAACCUGCCUGGUAGCGGGGGAUAACUAUUGGAAACGAUAGCUAAUACCGCAUGAUAUUGAUUAUUGCAUGAUAGUCAAUUAAAAGGUGCAAUUGCAUCACUACCAGAUGGACCUGCGUUGUAUUAGCUAGUUGGUGAGGUAACGGCUCACCAAGGCAACGAUACAUAGCCGACCUGAGAGGGUGAUCGGCCACACUGGGACUGAGACACGGCCCAGACUCCUACGGGAGGCAGCAGUAGGGAAUCUUCGGCAAUGGACGGAAGUCUGACCGAGCAACGCCGCGUGAGUGAAGAAGGUUUUCGGAUCGUAAAGCUCUGUUGUAAGAGAAGAACGAGUGUGAGAGUGGAAAGUUCACACUGUGACGGUAUCUUACCAGAAAGGGACGGCUAACUACGUGCCAGCAGCCGCGGUAAUACGUAGGUCCCGAGCGUUGUCCGGAUUUAUUGGGCGUAAAGCGAGCGCAGGCGGUUAGAUAAGUCUGAAGUUAAAGGCUGUGGCUUAACCAUAGUACGCUUUGGAAACUGUUUAACUUGAGUGCAAGAGGGGAGAGUGGAAUUCCAUGUGUAGCGGUGAAAUGCGUAGAUAUAUGGAGGAACACCGGUGGCGAAAGCGGCUCUCUGGCUUGUAACUGACGCUGAGGCUCGAAAGCGUGGGGAGCAAACAGG